rnacentral:tRNA from 1 species
GGAAGCGUGGCCGAGUGGUUGAAGGCACUAGUCUUGAAAACUAGCGAGGAUGAAAAUCCUCCGUGAGUUCGAAUCUCACCGCUUCCGCCA